rnacentral:rRNA from 1 species
AACGAACGCUGGCGGCAGGCUUAACACAUGCAAGUCGAACGCCCCGCAAGGGGAGUGGCAGACGGGUGAGUAACGCGUGGGAACAUACCCUUUCCUGCGGAAUAGCUCUGGGAAACUGGAAUUAAUACCGCAUACGCCCUACGGGGGAAAGAUUUAUCGGGGAAGGAUUGGCCCGCGUUGGAUUAGCUAGUUGGUGGGGUAAAGGCCUACCAAGGCGACGAUCCAUAGCUGGUCUGAGAGGAUGAUCAGCCACAUUGGGACUGAGACACGGCCCAAACGCCUACAGGAGGCAGCAGUGGGGAAUAUUGGACAAUGGGCGCAAGCCUGAUCCAGCCAUGCCGCGUGAGUGAUGAAGGCCUUAGGGUUGUAAAGCUCUUUCACCGAUGAAGAUAAUGACGGUAGUCGGAGAAGAAGCCCCGGCUAACUUCGUGCCAGCCGCCGCGGUAACAC